GGAAGUAAAAGUCGUAACAAGGUUUCCGUAGCAAGUCCUUGCGUUGGAACAGUGAUUCCUUCCGCAGUGUACACUUAUCGAAGCCUUUGCAGCCACGCAAGUGGCAGGCCCGAACGACUGUAAAUAAAUUGGCGCCGCUGCAAGUCAGCCCCCGGGCUGGCGACACUUUCGAAUUGACGGGGACACCCUAAAGCCGAUCGCACCAACCUGUGGGGGAAACCGCACGGGGGCCCGUGGUAAUGACACGGGGGAUGGUAACAGACGAUCUGGAUAGUUCUGCUUCGGCAGAGAGGAUGGGCAAUCCGCAGCGAAGCCCCUAAGUCCCGUCCCGGGAUACGGGGAACGUCCACAGACUAAGUGGAAGUGGGUGGGAUGCUACCACAUCCUGCUUAAGAUAUAGUCGGGCCCCCUGGGAGACCAGGGGGAGAAGUACACUGCUCAGUCCUUCUGAAUCCCGUUCCGUAGGUGAACCUGCGGAAGGAUCAUUACCGAGUGAGGGUCCCUUGCGGGCCCAACCUCCCACCCGUGUUUAACUAUACCGAGUUGCUUCGGCGGGCCCACUGGGGCCUGUUCCCGGUCGCCUGGGGGGGUGAAACCCCCCGGGUCCGUGCCCGCCGGAGACCCCUUGAACCCUGAGUGAAUCGAGUGUCGUCUGAGUUUGAAUUAAAUCAUUAAAACUUUCAACAACGGAUCUCUUGGUUCCGGCAUCGAUGAAGAACGCAGCGAAAUGCGAUAAGUAAUGUGAAUUGCAGAAUUCCGUGAAUCAUCGAAUCUUUGAACGCACAUUGCGCCCCCUGGCAUUCCGGGGGGCAUGCCUGUCCGAGCGUCAUUGCUACCCUCAAGCGCGGCUUGUGUGUUGGGCGCUGUCCCCCCGGGGACAGGCCUGAAAGGCAGUGGCGGCGUCGCGUCCGGUCCUCGAGCGUAUGGGGCUUUGUCACUCGCUCUGUGGGGUCCGGCCGGGGCCUGUCUACCCAAUCUUUUCUCAAGGUUGACCUCGGAUCAGGUAGGGAUACCCGCUGAACUUAAGCAUAUCAAUAAGCGGAGGA
rnacentral:rRNA from 1 species